rnacentral:rRNA from 1 species
AUUGAACGCUGGCGGCAUGCUUUACACAUGCAAGUCGAACGGCAGCACGGGUGCUUGCACCUGGUGGCGAGUGGCGAACGGGUGAGUAAUGCAUCGGAACGUGCCCAUGAGUGGGGGAUAGCCCGGCGAAAGCCGGAUUAAUACCGCAUACGCCCUUAGGGGGAAACGGGGGAUCUUCGGACCUCGCGCUAUUGGAGCGGCCGAUGUCGGAUUAGCUAGUAGGUGAGGUAAAGGCUCACCUAGGCGACGAUCCGUAGCUGGUCUGAGAGGAUGAUCAGCCACACUGGGACUGAGACACGGCCCAGACUCCUACGGGAGGCAGCAGUGGGGAACUUUUGGACAAU